rnacentral:miRNA from 14 species
AAAGGCAGGCUAGUGUAAAGCUGUGAUGAGUUCUAAUGGUGGGUCAGACUGCCUGGGUUCAAAUCCAGAUCUACCACUUGCAGGCUGUGGG